CAGGCAUGCGCGCUCCCUUCUGGGCCAGCGGUUGCGAGGCGCCGGGCGCCAGCCGUUAGCUGUUUCGGUUUGCGCGUAAACGGCGAGUCUGGCUACCCAACGCAGGAUUUCCAGCGGGGGCGCACAAACCUCGGGAGGGAAGUUGGAAGCCGCAGCUACUGUAAAGGCAGCCGCAGGCUGGCUAAAGCGGUCUCUGGUUCGGAAACCGAGGCCUGAGUGCUCGGGCUCCACCUGACCUGGUUCAGCGCGUGACCCACGCAGCUCUGGAUUCCAGGCAGGAAGCUCGAGGGUCAGGGAGAGCACCUCUGCCGGUGAAUUAUUCAUCCCCUAUUGAGUUAUCGUGACGCCCUGUGGCUUUGGGAAACCUCUCCACAACCAAGUGGAGCCACAGCUCUCCGCCAACGAAGUUAAAAAAACAAUGUCUAACCCAGCAAUGAGCUUUUGAGGGUAUGUCUCAUUUUCAAAGGAAUAUGAGAUCAUUGAGUUGGACCCAGAGAAACAACUCAUAGAAAACUUCCAUUAAUGAGAACCCAAAAGCUGAUGGCCAGACAAAAGGAUGAGAGGAAAUGCUGGACCUCCAGUUUCUUAAUGGCUCAGGUUCUUUUUGUUUUGUUUUGUUU